rnacentral:rRNA from 1 species
UACGAAGGGGGCUAGCGUUGCUCGGAUUUACUGGGCGUAAAGGGCGCGUAGGCGGACAGUUAAGUCGGGGGUGAAAGCCCGGGGCUCAACCUCGGAAUUAGCCUUGCGAUACUGGCUGUCUUGAGUACGGGAGAGGUGUGUGGAACUCCGAGUGUAGAGGUGAAAUUCGUAGAUAUUCGGAAGAACACCAGUGGCGAAGGCGACACACUGGCCCGUUACUGACGCUGAGGCGCGAAAGCGUGGGGAGCAAACAGG